AGCAAGCACUUUAGCUCUGAGCCAGGCCAAGAUGCCGUUAGGACACCCUCCCAAAGCCUGCCUUUUACUCAGUGGUGGUAGAAAGUGUCACUACCAUGGCUCUCCUUGGAGAAGACAGUGGGCAAGCCUUGCUACCCGUAGGCAGGAGGUGGGGAUCUGUGUGCAGAAUACGAAAGCAGAAGGUAUUGCCAUAAAUUGUGGACUCUCAGAAUUCGAGGGGCCUGCGUGGGUCAUCCACCUUACUUCCCAAUUCAUGCAGGACUGGCCUGCACAGCAUUCCUGACAGGUAGAGAUGUUCAGCCUCUUCUUGAUUGCCUCCUGGGACGGGGAACUCACUGGGGCUGGCAGUGGCCAUCUGUCCCUUAGCCAAUGAACUCAUAUCUUAUUGCUGCUCCCAUAACUCACCACAAACCUGUUGGCUUAAAAUAAUACACAUUUAAUCCAUUACAGUUCUGGAGGCCAGAAGUCUGAAAUGGAUCUUAUUUGGCUAGAAUCAAGGUGCCAGCAGGGCUGCAUACCUCCUAGAAGCUCCAGGGGAGAAUCUGUGUCCCGGCCUUUUCCAGUUCCUAGAGGCCACCUGUAUUCUUUGGCUUGCAGCUCCUUCUUCCAUUUUCAAAACCAGCAGAGUAACAUCCUCAGAUCUCUCUGACUCUGACCUCUGCUUCUGUUGUCAAAUCCUUCUCCCUCUCCUACAGACCCUUGUGGUUACAAGGGACCCUCAGUCGAACCCUGGAAAGUCUCCCCAUCCCCAGGUCCUCAGCUUACUCACAUCUGCACAGUCCCUUUCACCACGUAAGGCCACACAGUCACAGGUUCCAGGGAUUAGGAUGUGGACAUCUCUGGGGGCUCUUAUUUUUCCUGCCAGAAUUCCUCUUUUUUUUUUUUCUGAGAUGGAGUCUCACUCUGUUGCCCAGGCUGGAGUGCAAUGGCAGGAUCUCGACUCACUGCAACCUCUGCCUCCCAGGUUCAAGCAAUUCUCCUGCCUCAGACUCCCGAGUAGCUGGGAUUAUAGGCGCCCGCCACCACACUCGGCUAAUUUUUGUAUUUUUAGUAGAGACGGGGUUUCACCAUGUUGGCCAGGCUGGUCUUGAACUCGUGAUCUCAAGUGAUCCAUCCACAGCCUCCCAAAGUACUGGGAUUAUAGACGUGAGCCACUGUGCCCGGCCCAGAAUUCCUCUUUAUACUGAAGAGAAACUUGUUUCUCAAUAACUUCCUCCCAAUGGUUAACAUUCUAGAGUCCCCCUUCCACGUGACAACCUGUCAAACAUCUAAAAGCUGCUUUAUGUUUCUCUGUUCUCUCUUCUGAUCUAGGCUAGACACCCCAAGUCUCUUCCUUGUCCGAGGGUGCUAUCAUUUGUGAAGCAUGCUUCACAUAAUCAAGUGCGUUACUUGUCAUGCUGGAUGAUGAGGGCUUGGUCCAGGGUUCAGUGAAGCAUGCGUUUCCUGUGAUUUGGACAUUCUGCUUACAUGGAUGCACCCUGACAAUACAUUCACCUUUUUUUAUUUUCUUCUUCUUCUUCUCCUUCUCCUCCUCCUUCUCCUCCCUUCUCCCUUCCUCUCUCUCUCUCUUUCUUUCUUGUUUCUUUUUUUUUUUGAGAUGAAGUCUCGCUCUGUUGCCUAGGCUGGAGUGCAGUGGCACAAUCUCAGCUCACUGCAACCUGUGCCUCCUGGGUUCAAGUGAUUCUCCUGUCUCAGCCUCCUGACUGGCUGGGAUUACAAGCACCCACCACCACGCCUGGCAAAUUUUUUUUUUUUUAAAUAGAUAUGGGGUUUCCCCAUGUUGGCCAGGCUGGUCUCGAAGUCCUGACCUCAGGUGAUCCACCCACCUCAGCCUCCCAAUGUGCUGGGAUUACAGGUGUGAGCCACUGCGCCCAGCCCACCUUUUCGUUCUGUUAAACAGUCACAGUAUACUCUUGAGCUGGUUUUUAACUUCACUACCAAAAGUUUGAGGCUUUUAAUUUAUUUUAUUUUUUAGAACUGUGGUUCAGAAGGAGAGGUACUUUUUUAGUGUGUUGUGUUGGAGCCCUUAAUUUUCUGAAUCUAAACACAGGAGUUUACACUGAUUCCAGUUAAAUGACAAGUUGGCAGUUCCCACUCUGGUAUUGCGUUCUGAUUAAAUGCUUCAAAAUUGUAUCUCAAAGUUUAUCUAACACCAUGCCACCUGUAAAGGUAGUAAGUAAAACAGUUUUAGGCAGGGCUGUGGUUUCUUCUACACAUCAUGUAUUCUGUGGUUUCCAGGGCUCCCUCCUUAAGAAUGGUCUUCCAAUUGGGAUGGGUGGAUUUGAAAGGAACUAAGGGAUCAGCUGGGAAAGAAAGCACAAGGUGCAUCUGAAGCAAACCAGGAACGUGCAGAUACUCCGUCCUAUGGGAGGAGGAAUUGUACUGCCACACAGGGUUGCACAGACGUGGGUUAACAAGGGAAGCUUCCUGGAGCGGACCUUGCCGUGACACAAGCAAGCCUGCGUGUGUCCAUGCAGCCUGGGAGCAAGGGCGUUUGAGUCAGAUGCUGUGUGCACGUUUCAUCUCCACAGUUCAUCAGGCUGUGACCUUGGUUGUCUUGGACUUUGGCUUUUCCUGUCUCCUAAGAUGGGCCAACACCAUUUGUUUCUGCAUUAUUUUGAGAAUUGAAGGAGAAGACAGAGAUGAAGGCCCUGGCCUGGUACUCGGUAGGGAACAGGACCCAGUGGAUGUUAGAUGCCUCCUCUGUCUUGCUGAGACUGGGCAUUUCUCUGAGUACAGAGCCUGGGAGACAGGGCAAGUGGGAGAUGGGGUAUGAGAGGCCCUCAGUGGGGAAUACUGGUCAUUUUGGAAACAGGAAUAUUCCAUAGCUGCGUGAAAAUGCAGCUUUUUUUUUGCUUAAUCAUCAGAACCCACAAUCCUAAGUUAAUCCUGCAUUACAGAAUUCUGCCAGACUUCAUAUCCAAAAACCCCUGGUGCUCUAUCUCUUUCUCUUCCCUUCACCCCAUACAAUCCUGCGGGAUCGGGAAAUGCUCAUGUCAUGGGGUAGAGAAACCGGAGGUUUGCCAAGCCCUUGAGGCUCCUAGAUCAACGAUGCCUAAAGUCACUAACUUCCCUGAGGUUGCAGAAUGAAUGUCUUUUUUCUUCCCCACUGGAAAAGCCAUAGACAACCAUUAAAGAAAACUUGAAAAAUACAGGGAAGUUGAUGGAUGUGUGGCCAGUUGGUGCUGUCUGUCUUCUUGGUGACCAGGAGUAAUUUGGACCAUCUGGGAAACCAGACCUCUUUUCACCCAGGCUGUUUCGUGUGCAUCACUUCUGAGGCUGUGUGCUCAGUCAAGACCUUGCCAGAGAGUUGGGGGAUUAGCCUUAGGUCGAGAAUAUUCUGAGCAGUAGUAAGAAAUUUAAAAAUCAUCCAUAAUUUCAUCACUCUUAUUUUAAGAGAUUAGUUUAUUUCCUUCUAAACCUUCCUCUAAGUUAGUGUAUGUGUGUUUAUAGCUGCAUACAAUUUUGUAUGAUGCUUUUUUUCCUAUAAUAUUAUAUCCUAAGGAGCACUUGAAGUCGAAUGACUUUAGUAAAUCAUUGAUGAGAACAUUUUGAGUGUCUUUCCAUUGCACUCCCAACUAGCCUUCUCCACCUCUUCACUUUAAAAGCAACAACUAGUUGAAACGUGACGCUAUCCAAGUCUUUCCGGAGAAAAUAGUUUCUGGAGUGAGAUCAUUGUUGUUUGACAAUUUGGGAAGGACUUAAACUGAGUCCAGCUCCAGGCAGGACUUGAUAACAUGUUCAUGCAGUGGCUUCUUUCACAGCGUUAUAGCACCAGCCCUUCCUUGUCUCUCAAACCUUACAGCUCAGGAGGGGCUGUGAAUGGAUGGGUAAGGAAUUCCAGUCCCUGGGUCCUUGGCACCUGUGGUCAGCAUGGGGCUCCCACUCCAGAAUUGCGUGCGGUGGUUUUGAGCUCUUGGGUCACGGCUACAUCUGGAGUUGUUGUGGCAGAGAAGCCUGGUUCCCAGCCACCACUCUGCUCUUGAAGGUGCUGACUCAGAGACUCCCAAGCAGCUGACUUCAGCAUUCUCUCACAGCUUUACACCCCCUCUUCCCUGCAGCCUGUCUUGGAAGGAAAUCGUGUGGUUGUGGUCUGUCUUCAGAGUGGGGUUGAGGGGUGCACUUGAAGAAGUGGCUGAGGCAGAGCCAGGGCCAGAAUAGGUAGGGUCACCCCAGAGAAACUCCUUCCACUUCACUGGACUCUCUAUCAGUAGGAGGCUUACAGUCCUUGUCCCUGCCAAGACAGGGCUAGGGGCAAAGCGCAAGACAUUACAGGUUUGCAAUAUGUUAUCCAUCAUCAAAAUGAGCAGUGAACAAAUCCGACUAAGGUCUGGAAGCAAUUGAACAACUCUGUUAUUACUUUUGUGACACAUUGUCAUGGGAAUGUGUGUGAGCUUGGGGCUCUUGUGUCUCUCUGCGGUUUCUAGAGGCAGCUUGACUUAGAGAAUGGUUCUGUCCACAGACUGUUUCUGUGUGUGCGAGGGGAGCUUCCUGGGGCCAUCAUGAGGAUUUCUUUUCUUUUGAGUCUUGUAAAGUAUUGACCCAUAGAAUAUGAGAAGCAGGACAUGUUCUGUUCAGUUGUUUUUCAUGUAAUAAAAGAUUCUUGCUCAAA